rnacentral:rRNA from 1 species
AUUGACCGCUGGCGGCAGGCUUAACACAUGCAAGUCGAUCGAUCGGCGGACGGGUGCGUAAUGUCUGGGAAACUGCCUGAUGGAGGGGGAUAACUACUGGCAACGGUAGCUAAUACCGCAUACCAUCCGAUGUACCCAGGUGGGCUUAGCGAGUAGGUGGGGUAAUGGCUCACCUAGGCGACGAUCCCUAGCUGGUCUGCGAGGAUGACCAGCCACACUGGAACUGAGACACGGGCCAGACGCCUACGGGAGGCAGCAGUGGGGAAUAUUGCACAAGGGGCGCAAGCCUGAUGCAGCCAUGCCGCGUGUGUGAAGAAGGCCUUCGGGUUGUAAAGCAAUUGCAGCGAGGAGGCGGUACUCGCAGAAGAAGCACCGGCUAACUCCGUGCCAGCCGCCGCGGUAAUAC